UAAAUGCUCGUUUCAGUUCCUCAUGGUUGUCUAGUGAUGGGCUUCUGUACAUGCAUCCAAUCAGUAGUUUGUCUGAGCCUCUUAGAGUAAUUAAGAUCCACACUGACUCAUGGAAACUGUGCUGCAAAUCACAUUCACCGACAAGGUGGUAAAGAUCUCUUGCGAUAUAAAUUGCAACUCCUCUAUUUCCAUCCUCCAGAUUGCAGUGCAAAUCAUAUCCCUCUAAAAUUAAAAUUAAAAAUAAACUAAUACAAAAUCUAACGUUUCAAUCCAUAAAACAACAUUUU